GAAUCAACGCUGGCGGCGUGCCUAACACAUGCAAGUCGAACGCGAGAGGGGCUUCGGCCCCGAUUGAGUGGCGAACGGGUGAGUAACGCGUGGGUGACCUACCUUCGAGUGGGGGAUAACGUCCCGAAAGGGACGCUAAUACCGCAUAACAUCCUGCUUUUGAAUGGGUGGAGAUCAAAGCCGGGGAUCGCAAGACCUGGCGCUUGAUGAGGGGCCCGCGUCUGAUUAGCUAGNGGUGAGGUAACGGCCCACCAAGGCAACGAUCAGUAUCCGGCCUGAGAGGGCGGACGGACACACUGGGACUGAGACACGGCCCAGACUCCUACGGGAGGCAGCAGUGGGGAAUUGUUCGCAAUGGGCGCAAGCCUGACGACGCAACGCCGCGUGGAGGAUGAAGGUCUUCGGAUUGUAAACUCCUGUUGCCCGGGACGAAUGGCUCCGACCUAACACGUCGGAGUGUGACGGUACCGGGUGAGGAA
rnacentral:rRNA from 1 species